AUGAUUCCCUGUAUGAUCCAAUCCUGUGUUGUAAUAGAAUUUCACUUUUCUCUGAAUCUAUUUCCUAUGUUUGGCAUGUUCCAUUCAUAUAUUACUAUGUCACCUAGCACUGUAAUAGAAUUUCACUUUUCUCUUAAUCUAUUUCCUAUGUUUGGCAUGUUCCAUUCAUAUAUUACUAUGUCACCUAGCCUUGGUUCACGUGGCCGCCGAAACAAACACAAAUUUACAGAGCAUGAAAUUAAUCCAAGCAGCCACUGUAAAUUCUCUCGGAAUUUACUCCCUCUAUUGAUCUAUGUAGGGGUAGGGCACGCAAGCUUUCCAAGAUCCACGCUUUGA
rnacentral:rRNA from 1 species